AGUUUGCAUAAGAGUUUGCAGUGGAAGCCUGGAAGAGACAGGAGGGUCAUUAACUCUGGAAAACACUGCCUAUCAGGUCACCGGGGGUUCAAGGUUGGUGACUGACCUGGGACCAGGCUACCUAUGCGCAGCUCGCCUCCAGACAGGACACGCUGAAGACUAUCCUUCAUCUGCCUCCCUGCUACCUGAAUGGAAAAAGGUCUGACUGAAUGGAAGGCAGCACGCACACAAUGCUGCCCCCUGCUCCUGUCACCAAGAUGAUCCUCUGCCAGCCUCCCUGCUGUGACACACUGAAACCAUGAGCUGAAAUAAGCCCCUUUCAGACACCACAGCGUGACAGGAAACUGCUCUUGGCUGGAAGCAGAGGAAGCCACAGCAGGAUGCGGAAAUGGUGGCUUUGCUGAAGUGUUGAGGAGGUGGCAAGCCUGAAGACCGCUCAGGGUGAAACUUGAGCACCCUGGGGUGCACGAAGCCCAGGCUUUGCAGCUCUCUGCAGCUCUGAUAAGCUGGGAGCAUGGGGUAGGUUCUCACUCUGCCAGACUCCUGGGUUUCUGUCUUAGUCAGGGUUUCUAUUCCUGCACAAACAUCAUGACCAAGAAGGAAGUUGGGGAGGAAAGGGUUUAUUGAGCUUACACCUUCCAUGCUGCUGUUUAUCACUAAAGGAAGUCAGGACUGGAACUCAAGCAGGUCAGGAAGCAGGAGCUGAUGCAGAGGCCAUGGAGGAAUGUUUCUUACUGGCUUGCUUCCCCUGGCUUGCUCAGCCUGCUCUCUUAGAGAACUCAAGAGCACCAGCCCAAAGGUGGUACCACCCAUAAGGGGCCCUCCCCACUUGAUCACUAAUUGAGAAAAUGCCCCACAGCUGGAUCUCAUGGAGGCACUUCCUCACCUGAAGCUCCUUUCUCUGUGAUAACUCCAGCCUGUGUCAAGUUGACACACAAAACCAGCCAGUACAGCUUCUGUUGGAGGUUGGAUCUCUCUCUCAGGAGGCUCCUGGAGAUGCAGAUCUUGUGAUGUCAUCUAGCAGUUACCUCGAACCUCAGUAUCUCCCACUGACCACCUGCCACUCCCAUGCUACUGAAUUGCCCACAUUACCUGGAGGAGGGCGGGACAGAUGCUUAAAACUCUCCCUGAAUCAGCUGGGGAGGUGACUCAGCUAGCGAAGAGCUUGCCUUGCAUGUGAGGGACCUGAGCUUGGUCCUCAGAGCCCAUGGAAACGUGUGUGUUUGCUAUCCUGGCACAGGAGAGGUGGAAAAAUGUAAGCUCCUAGGCUGUGUAGCCCUCGAGCCUAGCUAGCCUUCUUGAUCAACUCCAGGGUCUCAAUGAGAGACCGCGCCUCAAACAAACAAUGUGGACUACACCCGAGGAACGACAGUUCAGGUGUUGUCUAACAUCUACUUGUACAUGAACAUACAUGUACACAUGAACCUGUAUGUAUACAUACACACACAUAUACACACAUACACACACACACACACACACACACAUAUGCACCUUACACACAAACACUUCCAGGAUCUUUCAGUCUGCCCCAGAAACCUGCGGUCUAGUCAUAGCUAAGGAAGUGAGCUGGGUCACAGUCACAUAGAAAGAAACCUUGACCACAGAAUGUGAAGAAUCCUAGAAUCCUAGAUUCCAGUCAAAGCAGUUCUGUAUGUGUGACAAUGAUAAGCAAGAGCAGGUGACACUCCAGGCCUAGCCCGGGAGUGCCAGACACCAGCCCUCCAGGGGACUCACUAAUGAAAGGGGCACAAGUACUUGGUGUCACAAAGAACCACCCCAG